UACAGAGGUCUCAAGCGUUGUUCGGAUUCAUUGGGCGUAAAGGGUGCGUAGGCGGCGCGGUAAGUCGGGCGUGAAAUCUCGGGGCUUAACUCCGAAACUGCAUUCGAUACUGCCGUGCUUGAGGGACUGAGAGAGGAACUGGAAUUUACGGUGUAGCAGUGAAAUGCGUAGAUAUCGUGAAGGAAGACCAGUGGCGAAGGC
rnacentral:rRNA from 1 species